ACCGGGGGAACUGAAACAUCUAAGUACCCCGAGGAAAAGAAAUCAACCGAGAUUCCCCCAGUAGCGGCGAGCGAACGGGGAGGAGCCCAGAGCCUGAAUCAGUGUGUGUGUUAGUGGAAGCGUCUGGAAAGGCGUGCGAUACAGGGUGACAGCCCCGUACACAAAAAUGCACAUAUUGUGAGCUCGAUGAGUAGGGCGGGACACGUGGUAUCCUGUCUGAAUAUGGGGGGACCAUCCUCCAAGGCUAAAUACUCCUGACUGACCGAUAGUGAACCAGUACCGUGAGGGAAAGGCGAAAAGAACCCCGGCGAGGGGAGUGAAAAAGAACCUGAAACCGUGUACGUACAAGCAGUGGGAGCCUCUUAAUGGGGUGACUGCGUACCUUUUGUAUAAUGGGUCAGCGACUUAUAUUCUGUAGCAAGGUUAACCGAAUAGGGGAGCCGAAGGGAAACCGAGUCUUAACUGGGCGUUAAGUUGCAGGGUAUAGACCCGAAACCCGGUGAUCUAGCCAUGGGCAGGUUGAAGGUUGGGUAACACUAACUGGAGGACCGAACCGACUAAUGUUGAAAAAUUAGCGGAUGACUUGUGGCUGGGGGUGAAAGGCCAAUCAAACCGGGAGAUAGCUGGUUCUCCCCGAAAGCUAUUUAGGUAGCGCCUCGUGAAUUCAUCUCCGGGGGUAGAGCACUGUUUCGGCAAGGGGGUCAUCCCGACUUACCAACCCGAUGCAAACUGCGAAUACCGGAGAAUGUUAUCACGGGAGACACACGGCGGGUGCUAACGUCCGUCGUGAAGAGGGAAACAACCCAGACCGCCAGCUAAGGUCCCAAAGUCAUGGUUAAGUGGGAAACGAUGUGGGAAGGCCCAGACAGCCAGGAUGUUGGCUUAGAAGCAGCCAUCAUUUAAAGAAAGCGUAAUAGCUCACUGGUCGAGUCGGCCUGCGCGGAAGAUGUAACGGGGCUAAACCAUGCACCGAAGCUGCGGCAGCGACACUAUGUGUU
rnacentral:rRNA from 1 species